rnacentral:rRNA from 1 species
GGUGUCCGAGUUGUAAUCUCAAAAAAUGUUUUCCGCGUUGGACCGCACACAAGUCUGUUGGAAUACAGCGGCAUAGUGGUGAGACCCCCGUAUAUGGUGCGGACGCCCAGCGCUUUGUGAUACAUUUUCGAAGAGUCGAGUUGUUUGGGAAUGCAGCUCAAAUUGGGUGGUAAAUUCCAUCUAAAGCUAAAUAUUGGCGAGAGACCGAUAGCGAACAAGUACCGUGAGGGAAAGAUGAAAAGCACUUUGGAAAGAGAGUUAACAGUACGUGAAAUUGUUGGAAGGGAAACGCUUGAAGUCAGACUUGCUUGCUGAGCAAUCGGUUUGCAGGCCAGCAUCAGUUUUCCGGGAUGGAUAAUGGUAGAGAGAAGGUAGCAGUUUCNGCUGUGUUAUAGCUCUCUGCUGGAUACAUCUUGGGGGACUGAGGAACGCAGUGUGCCUUUGGCGGGGGUUUCGACCUCUUCACACUUAGGAUGCUGGUGGAAUGGCUUUAAACGACC